rnacentral:rRNA from 1 species
AUGGAAUUGAUUAGUUCUGUUUUCUCAGCUAUUCCUGUUUAUUAUAUGGCUAACAUUUUGUUCACUAAGAAGUUUCUUUCUAAGCUCACUGCUGUCAUUAGGAAUUUUUGGUGGACAGGUGUCAGGGAAAAUGAAUCAAGCAGGAGUCUUUGUCUUCGAGCAUGGAAAGAUAUUUGCAAUUCUAAAGAAGAAGGUGGCCUAGGUAUAAGGAAUUUGAAAGCGAUUAAUGAAAGUCUUGUUCUUGCGGCUGCUUGGAGAAUUGCUAAAUCCCCUUCCUCUCAAUUAUAUUUGGUCCUUCAGGCUAAAUAUUUCCAUGAAUCUUCUAUUUGGAUAGCUACUCCUUCCUCUCCUAAAUCUGCUUUUUGGACCUCUGUUCUGAAAAUGAUGCCUAAGUUAAAAGCUCAUUCUUUUUAUCAAUUGACUCAAGGUAAUAUCUCAAUAUAG